AGUGAAAUAUUUUCAUCACACUGGAACGUUGCGUAGCCCCUCUCCCCGCCUAGCUAUAAAGUUGCCACAAGGUGCAGUUGGACCCGUUACUGAAACAGAACAGAAGUAAAAGAAAGCUGUUAAGCUUCAGACCCCACCUCGGGUAGGGGUAUGCUCCCCACCUCUACUGUGCUGGUGCGUACAGUCCCCAAGGCUGGGCAAUGGGGCUUUCCCCAGCGGGUGCAGUAACGGUGGGUGCUUGUGUGGUGUGGGUCCUUAACCUACGCUCAGCAAUAUGUGUGAUAAUAAGCUGUGAAGAUCUUUAAUGUCUUUUCAGUUGCAGGAUUUUGAUGUGCUUUGGUUGCCUUAGCCCGAGUGUUUUCACUGACGGAGAGUACUCUGUAUUGCUGCUCUUUGCAUGGGCUGUCUCUAGUUCCCACUGCCAUCUGUAUUUGGGUGCGAGGAAGAUUUGGAUGUAUUUUCCAUAUCGUUAGUCAUUCUGGAGGUUCCCUUUGGUAAAACGUUAGCCUCAAAUUGGGGAAGUGAUGACAAGUCCUGCUUUUUAGUCAGCAGAUGGAGGCUGAGAUUGCUGUAAGAUGUCUACAGUUCCGUGUCCUUAGAAGAGCUGCUUUGCCGCCCCACGGGACUGCUGGAGGUUGCUCUGUGCCUCUUUUGGCAAAGCCCCUUCUUUCAUGUCGGCCAGUUGUUACUCCUGCCACCCUUAUGCCACCCCUUCUAAUGGCUUUUCAGAAGUGCUGGAUGAAAGGGAGAGCUUCACAGGAGAAGCUGGCUAAAACCAGAGCAUUCUUACAGGAAUUAGAACUGAAAUCUCCUACGGUUGAACAAGAAUAA
rnacentral:lncRNA from 1 species